rnacentral:rRNA from 1 species
AUACGUAGGUGGCAAGCGUUGUCCGGAAUUAUUGGGCGUAAAGCGCGCGCAGGCGGUCUCUUAAGUCUGAUGUGAAAGCCCACGGCUCAACCGUGGAGGGUCAUUGGAAACUGGGAGACUUGAGUGCAGAAGAGAAGAGUGGAAUUCCACGUGUAGCGGUGAAAUGCGUAGAGAUGUGGAGGAACACCAGUGGCGAAGGCGACUCUUUGGUCUGUAACUGACGCUGAGGCGCGAAAGCGUGGGGAGCAAACAGGAUUAGAUACCCUGGUAGUCCACGCCGUAAACGAUGAGUGCUAAGUGUUAGAGGGUUUUCGCCCUUUAGUGCUGCAGCAAACGCAUUAAGCACUCCGCCUGGGGAGUACGGCCGCAAGGCUGAAACUCAAAGGAAUUGGCGGG